CGGAGGACCCUUUGAACAAAUCACCCAAGGGGCAAGAAGGAAAAUAAAAAUGGAGGAGUGUAAAUGUUUAAUUUAUAAAUAAGGAAACAACUAGGAAAGAAAAGCCAAUGUGUUUGGUGGUGAUACAUGCAAAAAAACAACAACCACAACAAAACCCUACAUGUGGAUUGACGCCGGAAGAUAAUGUUUCAUGCAUAUUAAAAGAGGAAUUGCAAUAUGAUGUAACAAACAUGGGCAAGUCUAGCUAACAUUCUUCGGGAGAAGCUUUACAGUACUGAAAUUUUGCUUAAGAAUUGCAGCAGGAAUCGUCCAUUUCAACAUGUAAAACUGGCUGUAAAACAGACUGUGAUAAGGAUGGUGACCAAGUGCUGUUAUAACUUCAAACAUUGCUGUAAGCAAGGACUACUUACACAUUUCUUUUGAUCACCUGAUACACUUGGUAAUUCUGCAAGAUUUUCCUUUUGUUGAGUAGUACUGAAAGAAAAAUGGUGCAAAAAUGGUGCAGUUUGACAGUAGAACCAAUUAUCUUUGGAAGGAAUAGAUUCCACUUUGCUGAAUGAGUGCAAGCAGAAGCUGGAUGGCACUCCACUGAGCAUGCUUUAAUUUGGAUUUACUCUCUGAGCUGAGGAUUGGAUUUAAUGACCUAAAUUACCCCUUUCGUUAUGCGAUUCUGUGAAAUGAGAACUACGUUAGAAACAAAUCCCCAGAGGAGUGGAAAAAACAUAAUAAAAUGUAUCCUUAAAUUCUAUUUUUAAAAUGUUUUCACACAUAUCCAGUAUGAAGUUUGAAGCAACAUUUCUACGACUUGCUUGUAAUGCAGGUGUCCUUAGGAUUUAGGGCUCAAAAUUUAUGAUAUGUAUAAGGAUAUAAAUGAAUGAAUAAAUGAUGAACAAAUGAAUUUCUCCUCCAAUUUAAAGUAUUUUAUGGGUAGAUUUGACUUUUUAAAAUCUAAAGUGUAACAUCAGUCUAGGAAUUUACCCUAAGCUUUUCGUUUGAAGUAUAAACUGCAUCGAUUUAACCCCAGUCAUUUUUUUAAUACCAAGAUACAUUACUGAGGUAAAUUUAUUUCAAUGUAAGUGAUAUUUUCUUUCUGUUCAUUCUACAUUGUAAAAAUGUACAUUAUCUUUUUAAAAGAUAUUGUUACAAUAGAUGAUAUGCCUUGAUCAAGGCGAUAAGCAAGCUUGAAUAUGGUUCUUAUAUUACACCCAAAUAAUAAACAGAAUAUAAUUUA